GGGCCUGUAGCUCAGAGGAUUAGAGCACGUGGC
rnacentral:tRNA from 1 species